rnacentral:piRNA from 1 species
UACAAUCAUAAAGGGCCCAUUAUCA